rnacentral:rRNA from 1 species
GUGGGGAAUUUUGGACAAUGGGGGCAACCCUGAUCCAGCAAUGCCGCGUGCAGGAAGAAGGCCUUCGGGUUGUAAACUGCUUUUGUACGGAACGAAACGGUCCUGGUUAAUACCCGGGGCUAAUGACGGUACCGUAAGAAUAAGCACCGGCUAACUACGUGCCAGCAGCCGCGGUAAUACGUAGGGUGCAAGCGUUAAUCGGAAUUACUGGGCGUAAAGCGUGCGCAGGCGGUGCUGUAAGACAGGCGUGAAAUCCCCGGGCUUAACCUGGGAAUUGCGCUUGUGACUGCAGUGCUGGAGUGCGGCAGAGGGGGAUGGAAUUCCGCGUGUAGCAGUGAAAUGCGUAGAUAUGCGGAGGAACACCGAUGGCGAAGGCAAUCCCCUGGGCCUGCACUGACGCUCAUGCACGAAAGCGUGGGGAGCAAACAGGAUUAGAAACCCGGGUAGUCC